rnacentral:rRNA from 1 species
AUCUUGCGCAAUGGGCGAAAGCCUGACGCAGCAACGCCGCGUGAGUGAUGAAGGUCUUUGGAUCGUAAAGCUCUUUCGGCAGGGAAGAAACGCCCGGGAGAUAAUACCUCUCGGGUUUGACGGUACCUGCAGAAGAAGCACCGGCUAACUCUGUGCCAGCAGCCGCGGUAAUACAGAGGGUGCAAGCGUUGUUCGGAAGUAUUGGGCGUAAAGCGAGUGUAGGCGGGAUCGUAUGUCGGGUGUGAAAGCCCUCGGCUCAACCGAGGAAGUGCGCCCGAAACUGCGGUUCUUGAGUGUCGGAGAGGGUGGCGGAAUUCCCGGUGUAGAGGUGAAAUUCGUAGAUAUCGGGAGGAACACCAGAGGCGAAGGCGGCCACCUGGACGAACACUGACGCUGAGACUCGAAAGCGUGGGGAGCAAACAGG